rnacentral:rRNA from 1 species
GAAACUUCGGUCGAUUUAAUUUAAUUCUAGUGGCGGACGGGUGAGUAACGCGUGGGUAACCUGCCUUAUACAGGGGGAUAACAGUCAGAAAUGGCUGCUAAUACCGCAUAAGCGCACAGAGCUGCAUGGCUCAGUGUGAAAAACUCCGGUGGUAUAAGAUGGACCCGCGUUGGAUUAGCUAGUUGGUGGGGUAACGGCCCACCAAGGCGACGAUCCAUAGCCGGCCUGAGAGGGUGAACGGCCACAUUGGGACUGAGACACGGCCCAGACUCCUACGGGAGGCAGCAGUGGGGAAUAUUGCACAAUGGGGGAAACCCUGAUGCAGCGACGCCGCGUGAAGGAAGAAGUAUCUCGGUAUGUAAACUUCUAUCAGCAGGGAAGAUAGUGACGGUACCUGACUAAGAAGCCCCGGCUAACUACGUGCCAGCAGCCGCGGUAAUACGUAGGGGGCAAGCGUUAUCCGGAUUUACUGGGUGUAAAGGGAGCGUAGACGGUGUGGCAAGUCUGAUGUGAAAGGCAUGGGCUCAACCUGUGGACUGCAUUGGAAACUGUCAUACUUGAGUGCCGGAGGGGUAAGCGGAAUUCCUAGUGUAGCGGUGAAAUGCGUAGAUAUUAGGAGGAACACC